rnacentral:rRNA from 1 species
AUUGAACGCUGGCGGCAUGCUUUACACAUGCAAGUCGAACGGUAACAGGUUAAGCUGACGAGUGGCGAACGGGUGAGUAAUGCAUCGGAACGUGCCCGGUCGUGGGGGAUAACGCAGCGAAAGCUGCGCUAAUACCGCAUGCGAUUUGAGGAUGAAAGCGGGGGACCGUAAGGCCUCGCGCGAUCGGAGCGGCCGAUGUCAGAUUAGGUAGUUGGUGGGGUAAAGGCUCACCAAGCAAACGAUCUGUAGCUGGUCUGAGAGGACGACCAGCCACACUGGGACUUAGACACGGCACAGACUCCUACGGGAGGCAGCAGAGGGGAAUUUUGGACAAUGGGCGAAAGCCUGAUCCAGCAAUGCCGCGUGCAGGAAGAAGGCCUUCGGGUUGUAAACUGCUUUUGUACGGAGCGAAAAGGUCUCCUCUAAUACAGGGGGCUCAUGACGGUACCGUAAGAAUAAGCACCGGCUAACUACGUGCCAGCAGCCGCAGUAA